CAAUAGCGUAUAUUAAAGUUGUUGCAGUUAAAAAGCUCGUAGUUGGAUUUCUGGGAGGGUGCCAAUGUCCGCCGACGUGUGUGCGCAGCGGCGCCCUUCCAUCCUUCUGUUAACGCCUCUUGGCAUUCAUUUGCUGGUGGCGGGCUCAGAUAUUUUACCUUGAGAAAAUUAGAGUGUUUCAGGCAGGCUAGGCCGGAAUACAUUAGCAUGGAAUAAUGGAAUAGGACUACGGUCUCUUUGUUGGUUUGAGGGACUGCAGUAAUGAUUAAUAGGGAUAGUUGGGGGCAUUAGUAUUUAAUUGUCAGAGGUGGAAUUCUCGGAUUUGUUAAAGACUAACUUAUGCGAAAGCAUUUGCCAAGGAUGUUUNCAUUA
rnacentral:rRNA from 1 species